rnacentral:rRNA from 1 species
GGGGGGGGGGGGGGGGGGGGGGGGGGGGGGGGGGGGGGGGGGGGGGGGCGGGGUGGGGGGGGGUGCGCGAGGGGAGAACGGGUGAGGAACACUGGAGUACCCGGCGCUUGGCUUGGGGAUCACUUAAGGAAACUGAGUCUACUACCGGAUAGGAGCUCCGGCGGCAUGGGAGGUGUUUGCAAGGUUCGCCUGUUGGGGAUGGACGGGCGGCGUAUCAUCUCGGUGGUGGGGUACUGGCUUAACAAUGCUGUGACGGGUAGCCGGCCGGAGAGGGUUACCGGCCACAUUGGGACGGAGAUACGGCCCAGACUCCUACGGGAGGCAGCAGUGGGGAAUCUUGCACGAUGGGCGGAAGCCUGAUGCAGCAACGCCGCGUGCGGGAUGCCGGCCUUCGGGUUGUAAACCGCUUUCGCCUGUGACGAAGCGUGAGUGACGGUAAUGGGUAAAGAAGCACCGUCUAACUACGUG